UACGUAGGCAGCAAGCGUUGUUCGGAUUUACUGGGCGUAAAGGGCGCGUAGGCGGCUUAACAAGUCACUUGUGAAAUCUCCGGGCUUAACUCGGAACGGCCAAGUGAAACUGUCAAGCUAGAGUGCAGAAGGGGCAAUCGGAAUUCUUGGUGUAGCGGUGAAAUGCGUAGAUAUCAAGAGGAACACCUGAGGUGAAGACGGGUUGCUGGGCUGACACUGACGUGAGGCGCGAAAAGCCCAGGGGGAGCAAA
rnacentral:rRNA from 1 species